rnacentral:rRNA from 1 species
UAAUACGUAGGGUGCGAGCGUUAAUCGGAAUUACUGGGCGUAAAGCGUGCGCAGGCGGUUUUGUAAGCCAGAUGUGAAAGCCCCGGGCUUAACCUGGGAAUGGCAUUUGGGACUGCAAGGCUUGAGUGCGGCAGAGGAGACUGGAAUUCCUGGUGUAGCAGUGAAAUGCGUAGAUAUCAGGAGGAAUACCGAUGGCGAAGGCAGGUCUCUGGGCUGACACUGACGCUCAUGCACGAAAGCGUGGGGAGCAAACAGGAUUAGAUACCCUGGUAGUCCACGCCCUAAACUAUGUCAACUGGUUGUCGGGGAAGCAAUUCCUUGGUAACGAAGCUAACGCGUGAAGUUGACCGCCUGGGGAGUACGGCCGCAAGGUUA